UUGACCUCGGAUCCAGUAGG
rnacentral:rRNA from 1 species